UACGGAGGGGGCUAGCGUUGUUCGGAAUUACUGGGCGUAAAGCGCACGUAGGCGGCUUUGUAAGUUAGAGGUGAAAGCCCGGGGCUCAACCCCGGAAUUGCCUUUAAGACUGCAUCGCUAGAAUUGUGGAGAGGUAAGUGGAAUUCCGAGUGUAGAGGUGAAAUUCGUAGAUAUUCGGAAGAACACCAGUGGCGAAGGCGACUAACUGGACAUGUAUUGACGCUGAGGUGCGAAAGCGUGGGGAGCAAACAGG
rnacentral:rRNA from 1 species